rnacentral:rRNA from 1 species
AGGACUAACGCUGGCGGCGUGCCUAACACAUGCAAGUCGAACGAAGUAGCAAUACUUAGUGGCAGACGGGUGAGUAACACGUAGUCAACCUGCCCUUCAAUGGGGGAUAACUAGCCGAAAGGUUAGCUAAUACCGCAUACGAUCUCUGAGUGGCAUCACUCGGCGAUGAAAGGAGUAAUCCGUUGAAGGAGGGGACUGCGUCCCAUUAGUUAGUUGGUGGGGUAAUGGCCUACCAAGACUCCGAUGGGUAGCUGGCUUGAGAGAGCGACCAGCCACACUGGAACUGAGGCACGGUCCAGACUCCUACGGGAGGCAGCAGUGAGGAAUUUUCCGCAAUGGGGGAAACCCUGACGGAGCGACGCCGCGUGUGGGAAGAAGGCCUUCGGGUCGUAACCACUGUCGAGGGGACGAUAUUGACGGUACCCCUGGAGGAAGCCCCGGCUAACUACGUGCCAGCAGCCGC